AUAAGAACUUUGAAGACUGAAGUGGGGAAAGGUUCCAUGUGAACAACACUUGGACAUGCUUUAGUCAAUCCUAAGAGAUGGGGAAGCCCUAUAUCAAGGGUGCAUUCAGCAUGAACAUUGAAAGGGAAUCAGGUAAAUAUUAUCGAACCAGGACAUGGCGGCAGACGACAACAUUAGGAAAUACAGAGACGUCGUUGGAGGCCCCGUGAAGAGUUAUAUUUUCUUUUGCAUUGCAUUUGGGCCCCCAUCUUGCCAACUUGCCUUUCAUUGCAUUUGGGCAACCAUCUUUCCAACUUUCCUUGUGUUGCGUUCGGGUGCCCAUAUUGUUACUUCUCUUCGUGAAUUUGGGUGCCCAUCUUGCCAAAUUUCCUUGUGUUGCGUUUGGGCACCCCUCUUUCCAAGUCGCCUUUCCUUUCCCUUGGUC
rfam:Picea glauca, whole genome shotgun sequence.